GACGUAGGGCGCGUGCGUUGUCCGGAUUUAUUGGGCGUAAAGAGCUCGUAGGCGGCUUGUCGCGUCGACUGUGAAAUCCCGAGGCUCAACUUCGGGCUUGCAGUCGAUACGGGCAGGCUAGAGUUCGGUAGGGGAGACUGGAAUUCCUGGUGUAGCGGUGAAAUGCGCAGAUAUCAGGAGGAACACCGAUGGCGAAGGCAGGUCUCUGGGCCGAUACUGACGCUGAGGAGCGAAAGCGUGGGGAGCGAACAGG
rnacentral:rRNA from 1 species